ensembl:lncRNA
GGGGGGGGUCAAGGUGUUUUUAAAUACUAGUGAAAGAUACAUAAAAGCGGUUGCUAGGUUUUGGCCUGUUGUCAUCAUGUCAGGCCAAACAAACUGAGGAGUCAAAAGUCAGGAGGCGGCAGCCGACCCCGGCUGCAUACAGAGCAGCCCCCCCGCUGGGCCGGCGCCUUUAGAUUCAUCUGGGCCGUCACCGCGGGACGGGGGUGAGGCAGGGGCUGGGUGGAGAGGAACCGGUGAGGGCAGGAGCAACUCAAAGUACGGAGAUACUGCUUCUAUUUACUCCAAACGCGGUUUUUGAAUUCAUAAAGUAAACAUUCAAAAGGUUCAACAGCCGGGGCCGGGGUCGGUCCUCUCGCGCCACAACACAACUUUUUGACGAUAUAAAUAAUGUAGAGGAAGAACGCCAAACUUUUGGGUUUAUCCGGAGAGCUGUGAUGCAUAGGAUGCCGUUUUUGACUUACAGGCCUAGCUCCGCCGUCGUAGGCCGUCACCACGUUAGCGUGCGGCGCGGCCGUUAGCGUGUGUGAGUGGACGGACACGCUGCGGACCGUGGAUGAGUGAAGGGUCAGCGGUCACUGGGCGAAGCUCUCCAACUAUUUCAAAUGCGGGUCACUUGUACAGUUUCUGUAAAUGAAUCGGGGCUCUGGGUUCGGCAGAGGGCCUUGUCUCCUCGGAGGGACCGCAGAGUCCUCUUGAAAAGACUCCAACCAUUUCCUUGUGUACAUAUGAAUUAAGACAUGUCAAAAGGGUAUACUGAGGUGCAAAUGUAUAUUAUUUAAAGUGUUUUAAACAAAUAAUUAGACUGUGGUAUUAAAGGGCAUGUGUUCAUUUGCAGUGUCUCCAUUUUGAUUUUUCUUGCAUAUUUGCGAUAAUAAAAGGAUGUAUUGUAUAAGCCUUGUUGUAUGCUUCAUCUGUCGUUCUCUCGUUUUUGGUGAUGUUUUAAACAUAAUCUUAACCUUUGUUUUGGCUUUGUACCUGGAGCUAUUCGUUUUGGGUCUCAGAAUCCCAGGAGAACCGACCUUACAUCUGUAAUGAAACAGUAAGACAGUAACCCUGCUGUUGGGAGCUUUGCUAUCUGUAGUGUGACUGCAGAAGACGCAGGUAAAAUGAGGAAUGCAAAUACGGUUAAACGAUAAACUCUGUGUCCCCGGUAAUCGAGCUGGUUAAACAUGGUGGGUCUGGCCAGAGACAGGC